UACGUAGGUGGCAAGCGUUGUCCGGAUUUAUUGGGCGUAAAGGGCUCGUAGGCGGCCAACUAAGUCAGACGUGAAAUCCCUCGGCUUAACCGGGGAACUGCGUCUGAUACUGGAUGGCUUGAGUUUGGGAGAGGGAUGCGGAAUUCCAGGUGUAGCGGUGAAAUGCGUAGAUAUCUGGAGGAACACCGGUGGCGAAGGCGGCAUCCUGGACCAACACUGACGCUGAGUGAGCGAAAGCCAGGGGAGCAAACGGG
rnacentral:rRNA from 1 species